rnacentral:miRNA from 14 species
AGCUUUCGACAUGAUUCUAAAC